AAUAAUAGUUAUAUUUUAGGAGAUUAGAAACCAAAAAUUAACUUAAAACCGAACCGAUAUCCAGAUUAAACAGAUUUAAUGUGUUUUUAUUAAAAAUAACGAAACUAAUAAUCACAUUCCGCACAAAUUGCGGGUUAUUAUCUAGUAGUCUUAUUAUUUAUCAACCAUUUCCGUGAAUAUAAGGAUUUUUCUAUCAUAGAGGACGAGAUGUGUUUUUUUUUUUUUUUUUUUUUGUUAAAAGGGCAUUCAACGAGAUGUGUUGUUCAAAAAAAAAAGAGGACGACAUGUUAAAAAAAAUAGAAGACUAACAAUUUCCAAUCCAACUACUUACUUUAAAAUAGAGUUUAAAGUCAAAAUUUGGUGCACAAAAAAAAAAUUGUUUCAAUCCCACUACUUUUUGCACUUUAUAAUAGAAUAAAAUGAUGUUUAAAUAAGAAAAAAAUCUCUAAAAUAGUCAUUUUUAAUUUAUUUUCACAAAAAUAAUCUUCAGUAAAUAAAGUGACCAAAAUAAGUUUUAUUAAAGAGUAAAAAUACAGUUAAGGGGAUUAGAGUUAAGGGAUUGGUUUGGGGAUAAAAUUUCAAAUGUUAAAAUAAAAAAUUAAAAUUAAACUUUUAAAAAUAAAAAAGGCUAUUUUGGUCAUUUUUUUCUUUGAAUGCUAUUUCGUGACAAAAAAUUAAAAAUGAUUAUUUGACAGAAUUAUCCUUUAAAUAAAACAAUGUAUUUUUGUUUGUUUAUUACUCCAUUUUUACUUAAAAUAGAAUUAGGUUGGAGUAAAACUUAACUUCACUAUUGAGUUACUCCAUUUUGAAAGAAAAGUGGAGUUUUACGUUGGAAAUUAGAGCAUCUCUAAUUUCUCUCCAUAAUUUACUUUAAAAUAGAGUUUAGAAUAAGAAAUUUUUCAACCAUACUUUAUUUUUCAUUCUAUAAUGAAAUGUAAAUAGAUGCCAAAAAUAAAAUAAUAUUUUUAUUUGUGUUUACUUAUUCCAUUUUUUCACUUUAAAAUAGAGUAGGAUGAGAGCAAAAUCAACUAUAUUAUGAAGUUAACCCUGUAUUAUAUUGAUGUACUUCUUUUGUUUCAUAAAAAUGUUAUUUUGUUAUUUUUUUUGCUACACAAAAUAUAAUUUUAAAAUUCUAAUAUAAUAUAUACGUUAACAUUAAUAAUAAUUAUAAAAUAAUUUUAUUUUACAAGUAGUUUUGUUUAACACAAAAAUUAUUGAUUAAAUUAAUGUAAUUCUUGAAAAUACACAUGAAUUUAGUUAUUUUGUAAUUUGUGUGAAAAAAUUAAAAUGACAUUUUUGAGCGGAUGGAAAUCCUGCCUAAAUAACCAUCACAUUGUUCACUAUUCACGUUUGUUAUUUGCCUACUAUGCAUUGUAUAUCCAAAUAUGUAUCCAAUGCACUGUCGAUUUAUAUUUUUGUGUAUAUAAUAUAUUAACGGCGUAGUGUAUACAAACGUAGAAAGGGGAUCAAGUUGGGGUCACUUUACAGAGCCAUAUACGUAGUGGAAAUACAUCCGCCUCAAGCUCAUUGUAACCACUGAUUUUAUUUCCUCUCUUUUUAUUUAUUUAUCCCCUCAUGGUUUCACAUGGAAUUUAAUAAUUGAAUAUGAAAUAUAUAAAUAUAUAUCUUGAAAUAAAUAAGUGAUAUCAGUAAAUAAAAAUGAACGUAACCAAAUAAGAAAGCCGAAAAGAGAAGAGGGAGAGAUGCAAAAAUAGUGGGAGAUAAGUUUGGCAUUUCAGACAGAAACAAACUGCCAGUAAGAUUGUCCAUUCUCGUAUAGUCGUAUCAAUGUUUUGUUAUACCUAAAAAAAACAAGAUCUCCAGAUGUCAAAAAAAAAGACAAAACAUCUCCAUAACUAAAAUGUGAUCGCUUUGCUAAAUGUUUAUACAGUUUGUUCCCAUGUAUAGAUAAAGAAGUACCCAUAACAUAAUACACAUGCCAAGAUUAUGACAUCCUAUUUGUAACGUAAAUCAUUUAUAGGUUUAUCUAGUUUGUUCAUCGUUGUAAAAGCGUAUAGCAUAAGUUGACAAGUGAACAUCAGACUUCAUUGUUUUUUUUUUAUUUGAAAACUAAAUCAGACUAUAUUGUUUUGCCACCAUUUGCGUUACCCCGUAUAUAUCUUUAUAUAUAUAUAAUAGGCUUUGCUUCUCUCCCACCUAUGCCAACAAGGACGCCACGUCAUAAAUUGGGCUCUCCUGCGCGCGAAACGUGUUCUCUACGCUGCGUUUCAUCAAAGUGUUUUCAUAUUGUUUCGGGCUUGGUGUUAGGCUUGGUGGUGCGCUUCAUCUGCGGCCUAUCGGCCACAAGCUUUAAUUAUGUCUUCUAUUGUUCUCCUUCUACGCCGUAGGCGCGUUUUGUGUUUCCAUGGAAACUGAUCCUUCUUCCUCCUGAUCCAUCAAUCAACCGGAGCCGUAGCGAAUCUAGAGUUUCCAGCAAACUAUUCAUCUUCUUCCUACUGAUCAAGUAAUCAAUCGGUUACGAAAUCAUUGCUAUUAAAUUCUCUCUUUUUGCUAUUAAAUUCUCUCUUUAAAUCAAUCUACACGAUCUCUCUUCAAUGCCACUUUAGCUCUUCAAAGGCAGUGGUGGUUCGACUAUAAAAAAGGUUAGCAUCCCUACAAUCUGUAGCAUCCUAUCAAUCUAUUAUAACCAAAGCAAUCUCCUUAUUUUCUGAAAAAAAUGGCUAAUGCUCGAUUGGGUCUUUUCGUAUGUGAUUUCUAAGGUUCAACCCACUCUUUCUUCUCCGCCAUUCAGCUACUGCUUACUGAGCACAGAAAAAUUGAUGACUUCCCAGAUCCAGAAGCAAUACGCUAGACGUCAUGUCUCAAUAUGAGGUUAAUUUACUUCUGGGAUUUUAGAAGUUGGAGUGAAUCGAUUCUUUUGAGCGAUCUCCAACUGAAGAUUUUGUUGGUAUUUUUUUAAUGAAAAAUACCGAUGGUACAUUAGUAACAAUUAAUGCUGGGAGAGACAUUGCAUUCCGUCGGAAGAGGAGAAAACCGACAAGUAUUGGCGACGUCGACACCAUAUAUUAAGGCAACAACCAUCAGAUUCAACCUUUGAUUUACAGCAAAAACAGUGUUUGGGUGACUUCACCUCUUUACCUUCUCUUAUUGCUACCAUCGUGUUUGCUUUCCUUGACAUUACCUCUUUAGCUGGACUACCUGGUAAGCAAUUCAGGCCAACAAAAACAACUGCUUAAGUUUUACGCUCAACUUGAGCUUCACAUUUCAUCGGACAACGUGUGCUUCUGUUUACGAUUUUUAUAUUGCCAUUAACUGUUGAUCCAAAAAACAAAUCUAAAAGCCUACAUGAUUUUAUGUAUGUAGAUAAUUAGAAGAGCUUAGUGCUGCAAGCAGUCAAAUUAUUCUGUUAUCAUUCCAUUUUAAGAUCACAAGAUUCCGUAGCUAACUUGCCACUUCAACUAUACAAGGUAACAUAAAUUCUUUGAACCUCAUAGGAAAAGCUACAUCUAUGGUCACUUUAAUGGGUAUGCCUUUUCUGCAUAUCAGUGGUCCAUUUUUGAAGUGCAAAAAGUGGUACUUGGAAAACAAGUAAGUUAAAAAAAAUUUCUUUAAUUCUGGAUCUUUUCCUCUUAAUAAAAGAUGUAAGAUGGCUUUUCUUAUUUCCAGAUAGACAAUCUUCGUAGCCCUGUUUGUAACCUCAGUACAUGUGAUGGUAAGAGAUGCUUAUUCAAAUUUUAGAAUUGAUGUUAGUCUUUUAGUGCCUCCAAUAAAAAGAUCGCAGAUUAAAAUAUUUGUUUCUUUUGUAGGAAUAAUUCAUACACUGAUGUUAGGAACAUUCGGUAUUUUAAAUGAAAGCUGUAAAAUGGAAGAUGAGAUUCUCUCUUACUAAAUUUCAUAAGUUUCACAAAGACGAGAGUAUAGCUUCUUUCUUUUGUCAAACACAAGUUAUUUGUUUUUUCAUUAUUAUAGUUACAAAUGUGUUUCUAUGUGCUCUUUUGAUUUGUUCAAAAAGAGGUAGUAGAGAAGACGAAUUACACAAACACAUAACAUGGAUAUGUUGAUGAAUGUUUACGAAAAAUAUAACGUACAUGAUGAGUGACUGGCUAAAUCAAUAAUAGAUAGAUUAAAAGUCGUAUAUGAACAAAAGCAUUUUAGGUGACGUUGAAAAAUAUGCAUAAAAAGAAGGAAAUCUGCUACAUCUAUUUGUAUUCACACCUGGUCAAUUAUAUUUUGCAUUAUCAAGAGUAGUGAUUACUCAAAAACAAACCAAAUGUGCGACUAUCUUUGAAUAAACCAGCUAGGAAACAAAUUCUUUUGCUUAUGUUUGUGUUCCAUUUAUGAUUUAUUGCAGAUAUAGGAUUUAGUUUACAAGUCUGAAGCCCAUAAGAAAACACAUCUAAGUUAAUUAUAAAAUGUAACUAUGUAACGUCAUAUUUUUCUCUCGCAGACGAUGCUUCUCGAAGCUCUAACGAAUUAAUCUGAUGCUUCAAAAACUAUAACAAUAAUGCUUCUUUGAUGGUCUGUUUCUCUGUCUCGGUAGGCUUCUUCACUCAUUUUCUCUACCAUAUUUAAUUAGUAUCUUUACCACUCAAACGACUCAUAUCUGGUGGGUAAAUACUAUGAAAGCUUCUAUUGGAAUUUUGAGGAUAUUAGCAUUGGCACAUAUUGAUAAAAACUCGCUACAACCGAGUAAACUAACUAUGGCGGGUAUUUGUUUCUUAACUACCAAAAUUUAUGUCUUUAAAUACUAGGCUUUGCGGAUGUAGAUUUGAGUAGGCUUAUUUUGGAGAUAAAUAGUGUGGAAAAUUAUCGUAGUUCAAGAGUUUCUGAAGUAUUUUGGUGGAAAACAUUUGCUAUGAACCAGCUGGGAGACCAACUCCUCCCUAUUGCUCUUAGUCAGACCCUCAAACCAGCUCUUAUGCGGUUUGGUUCCAGUUCCAAGUUGAUAAGAAAGCGAAAAGGCUUUUACUUUCUCUUCCAAUGAAUUUUAUUUGCAGAAACUAAGAGUUUAUUCCGAGAACUCACUCUUUUUUUCUAAUUAUAGCUGUCAAACAAAAAAGUAGUUACAGUUAGUCAAACAAUAACAAACUACUUUAUUAUACCAUUUCCAAAUAUUGAGUUUUAUAAUAAAAUAGUGUUUAAAGCAUGUGUUAUAUUUCAAAUCAUUAGGAAAGACCAAUGCAUUAUCUUCACAUAAGAAACGAAAAUGGAGAUUAUUGCAAAUCAAGCCCAUCCUUUAGAGCUUGGACAUGAACUACCAACUUCAGCCAUUUAAGACUAUAAUAUCAGGGAAAUACAACAGAAUAAUGCAACCAUCCUUCAGCUAAUAAGACGCCUAGCAUAUAUCAAUUAGAACUUGCCUGAGCUCCAACAACGCACUUUUUUGCAAGCAUAACCGUAUCAUGGCUCCUGUAAUCAUAGGGUUUAUGGUGAAUAUAACAUUAACAGGUUUCUGAAAUUCAUCCCUCAUGGUUUCUGUUAUUCUAUUAGAUUAUAAUAUUUAUUAACAAAUAAGUGUCAAAUACAUAGGCUAAAGUAAUAACACACCUUAAAGGAAUUAUUGGGCUGCACAGAGUUGUACAUAUACGUCAUGCAUCCUCUUUAUUAGGACAUUCAGUCAAUAAAAAAACCAGUGUGAAUCAUAUCAGUUAAAACCUGACCUUCUUUCUAACAAUAUAAUACAUAGUAUAGACAAGUUGUUUCUAAAUACAUAGUGUAAGAGAAGUUACUUUAUUUAGAAAACUAUAUAAUAAAUAUCAUGAAAAUCAAACUCUUAAUAUAAUAAUUUAUAUACAAACACUUAGUAUAAACACAACCAUUCUUAAUAACAAUAAACAUUAUUAAACACCACAAAUUCUAACAUAAAACUCAUCCAAUAAAAAUCUACAAUAAUAUAGUUCACACAUCACACGAUAAUCACAAACCAUUAAAAUGGAGAUCAUAAUAUGAAUGAAAGAUCAAUAAAAAGUGAACUUAUAUGAUUUAAAAGAAAAAAAUGAUAAAAACAUAUACACCACCAAAAUAAAAAUAGAAGAUACUCUGAUUCAAAUCAUUAAAAAAUUUAGUUAACUGCAACAAGACUAAAACUAAAUCUUUUUACAAAAAAAAAAAUUAAUAGUAAAAAUUACAAAAUAAAUAGAUAAAAUAAUCAUAUAAAAAAUCUACAUAUAAUACAGAAUCAAACAUUUUAAGAAAAAUAAAAUUGUAGAACAAAAUAUAUAAUGAACAUUUAAAACUAUUGCUAACGAGCAUAAUAUAUCUUAUCAUAUAUAAUCUCUCAUCACCUAAAACUUUCUAAAAGACAAAAAGCAUUAUCAUAUACAUCUCUUGCAAAUGAGACCAAAACACAAACCACAAAAUCAUUAAAAAAUAAUAACCAAGAUCAUAUGUAAAGUAUAUCCCGCCCUACGGGCGGACCGACCCUAAUAUAUAUAUAUGUGUGUGUUUUGCGUUUUUCUUUUUUUUUUCUUGUACGUGCAAAACCAUAUAUUAAAAGAGAUGGACGAAGCUCAAAACUAAAUUGUUUUAGCCCAUUAAGGAUCUGGUACAAGAGAUGAAGUAAGACGAAGGUUUUUUUUGUUAAGCGGUCUGCUUGCAAAUUAUGUGUCCUAGGAAGAAAAUCGAAAGAGAAAGAGUGAAAGACAGAGGAUAACUGCUCAAUGUCGAAGAAAAUUUCGAAAAUAUCUUUCUCCUGCCGUUUGGUGGUAAUAGCUCUGAUGAACGUCAGAGUCGGAAAACACAUGGAAGCUUAAUAUCUCCAGCAGGGCCGGCUCAACACUGUUACGGGCCCUAGGGCAAAAAAUAUUUUUUUUUACCCUCUAAACUUUAUAUGUAGAUAAUGUUUAAAAUGUUUUUAAAAUUUAAUCAGUAAUAUUUUGUAAUGAAAAUAAAACUAUAUACAUAUCAAAUAAUUUGGGCCCUUUUCAAUUUUAUUUAUUAUAUUUAUAAUUUUUUUUAUACAUAAAAAUAUAGAUUAUAAAAAAAUUGGACCCCUUAAUUAGUAUUAUACGGAGGGACACGGGCUUGGGCCCAGGGCGGUCGCACCGCUUGUCCCCCCUAAUAAGCCGGCCCUGAUCUCCAGUGAAAUUAACUGCCGCUUUGAUUGAUGAUCUUACAGCGCGUGCCUCAGCCAUCAGGGGUGAAGCGACUGAUUCUUGUAUCUUUGUGCUUUGGCUUGUCUCAGUAUCUUCUUCUCUGGUGUAGAUCCAGCCUAAACCCGUUUUCUUUGCCUUAUCCCAAGAUGCAUCUGUUUUGCAUACAAUCGUGAUGGAGGUGACUGAUCGAUCCCUCGGCGCUCCUUGUUGUUGUUGUAGGGUUGAAUUAUGCGUUAGCCGUGUUCGUUUGUUAACCGCAAGACGCUCCCGCUGCGGCAAGAAAAAGCACGGUGAUGAUGAUCAAAAUAAUAGAAUCUGAAACUAAAGUAACCGCCAACGAUUUCCGGAGACACAAAAAACUUGACGCCGGUACCGCUAAAAUUUUCAGCGUCCCUUCUACUGCCCCUGCAUCAUCGGUGUUGCGUGUUGUUAAUCGCCGCUGCGGUCAUGGGUGUUGUGCGUUGACGUGAUUCCCGUUUAAUUUUUGGUCGUUGCCGCUGCGUCUUGCGGCUAAGAAACGAACACGGCUAUUAUCAUAUUCUUAGUUAGGCUCUUUGCUUAGGCUAGAAUCCAUUCUCUUGCCAUGAUGAGACUUUUUGCUACUAUUUUCUCAGGAGUAGAGUUUUGAUUCUCAAAAAUCAAUUUGUUUCUUGUCGUCCAGAUAAGUCAGCAAAUCCAAGGGAGUAUAGGAGACGAGACUCCUGAUGGUGGUAGACAUAUCAACUUGCGGUGCUUGAAGAGGAUGGACUUUAUAGUAUCGUCUGCAGCUAUGUAAACUGCGCAGUGGAGUGGGGUAAUCUCCCAAACUUUCCAAGCAAAGGGGCAUAGGAAAAAGGUUUUCCCCCAUGGGUAGAGCUCGCAGUACCAGAGACCAUAAGAAAACUUAUAGCUUUGGAAGAGAAAUCACCCGCCCAAAUGUUUGCAAUCCAGUUGAAAUACUGGUUUGCAUUCAGAGCUCUUGGUUUAUUUGUCACAGUAGCAUCAUUGUAUCCUGAUUUUGAUGAGUAGAUUCCAGAUUGAACAGGUUGCCACACAUAAAUGUAUUCUGAGUUCAUGCGACUUGGUCGAAGACACUGGAUUUGGGAAC